rnacentral:rRNA from 1 species
GAGAGUUUGAUCCUGGCUCAGGACGAACGCUGGCGGCGCGCCUAACACAUGCAAGUCGAACGAGAAAGAGGGAGCUUGCUCCCUUGAUCGAGUGGCGAACGGGUGAGUAACGCGUGAGGAACCUGCCUCAAAGAGGGGGACAACAGUUGGAAACGGCUGCUAAUACCGCAUAAGCCCACGGCUCGGCAUCGAGCAGAGGGAAAAGGAGCGAUCCGCUUUGAGAUGGCCUCGCGUCCGAUUAGCUGGUUGGUGAGGUAACGGCCCACCAAGGCGACGAUCGGUAGCCGGACUGAGAGGUUGAACGGCCACAUUGGGACUGAGACACGGCCCAGACUCCUACGGGAGGCAGCAGUGGGGAAUAUUGCACAAUGGGGGGAACCCUGAUGCAGCGACGCCGCGUGGAGGAAGAAGGUCUUCGGAUUGUAAACUCCUGUUGUUGAGGAAGAUAAUGACGGUACUCAACAAGGAAGUGACGGCUAACUACGUGCCAGCAGCCGCGGUAAAACGUAGGUCACAAGCGUUGUCCGGAAUUACUGGGUGUAAAGGGAGCGCAGGCGGGAGAACAAGUUGGAAGUGAAAUCCAUGGGCUCAACCCAUGAACUGCUUUCAAAACUGUUUUUCUUGAGUAGUGCAGAGGUAGGCGGAAUUCCCGGUGUAGCGGUGGAAUGCGUAGAUAUCGGGAGGAACACCAGUGGCGAAGGCGGCCUACUGGGCACCAACUGACGCUGAGGCUCGAAAGUGUGGGUAGCAAACAGGAUUAGAUACCCUGGUAGUCCACACCGUAAACGAUGAUUACUAGGUGUUGGAGGAUUGACCCCUUCAGUGCCGCAGUUAACACAAUAAGUAAUCCACCUGGGGAGUACGACCGCAAGGUUGAAACUCAAAGGAAUUGACGGGGGCCCGCACAAGCAGUGGAGUAUGUGGUUUAAUUCGACGCAACGCGAAGAACCCUACCAAGUCUUGACAUCCUGCGACGGACAUAGAAAUAUGUAUUUCCUUCGGGACGCAGAGACAGGUGGUGCAUGGUUGUCGUCAGCUCGUGUCGUGAGAUGUUGGGUUAAGUCCCGCAACGAGCGCAACCCUUACUGUCAGUUACUACGCAAGAGGACUCUGGCAGGACUGCCGUUGACAAAACGGAGGAAG